UACGGGGGGGGCAAACGUUGUUCGGAAUUACUGGGCGUAAAGGGCUCGUAGGUGGCCAACUAAGUCAGACGUGAAAUCCCUCGGCUUAACCGGGGAACUGCGUCUGAUACUGGAUGGCUUGAGUUUGGGAGAGGGAUGCGGAAUUCCAGGUGUAGCGGUGAAAUGCGUAGAUAUCUGGAGGAACACCGGUGGCGAAGGCGGCAUCCUGGACCAACACUGACACUGAGGAGCGAAAGCCAGGGGAGCAAACGGG
rnacentral:rRNA from 1 species